rnacentral:rRNA from 1 species
UGGGGAAUUUUGGACAAUGGGCGCAAGCCUGAUCCAGCCAUGCCGCGUGCGGGAAGAAGGCCUUCGGGUUGUAAACCGCUUUUGUCAGGGAAGAAAUCUUCUGAGUUAAUACCUCGGGAGGAUGACGGUACCUGAAGAAUAAGCACCGGCUAACUACGUGCCAGCAGCCGCGGUAAUACGUAGGGUGCAAGCGUUAAUCGGAAUUACUGGGCGUAAAGCGUGCGCAGGCGGUUUUGUAAGACAGAGGUGAAAUCCCCGGGCUCAACCUGGGAACUGCCUUUGUGACUGCAAGGCUUGAGUGCGGCAGAGGGGGAUGGAAUUCCGCGUGUAGCAGUGAAAUGCGUAGAUAUGCGGAGGAACACCGAUGGCGAAGGCAAUCCCCUGGGCCUGCACUGACGCUCAUGCACGAAACGUGGGGAGCAAACAGGAUUAGAUACCCUGGUAGUCCACGCCCUAAACGAUGUCAACUGGUUGUUGGGAAAGUUCCUUCUCAGUAACGUAGCUAACGCGUGAAGUUGACCGCCUGGGGAGUACGGCCGCAAGGUUGAAACUCAAA